GACUCCAGAUUUCUCCAUGUAUUUGCAUCCAAAUGUUGCCAAAUUAUUAACUGUGAGACAGGAGAGAUAUUCGCACAGGCUGCACGCCAUCAUGCAUCUGAUCUUUACCGCCUCACACCCGCAACAGCUGAACUCAUCUACUCACUCUCAGGCUCUCAUAAAAAAGAGUCCAUCUACACCAACACACUUAUGUCAACCAAAUCCUACAAGAAUUCAACAUGGAAACUUGUAAUCCAUCUCACAUUCCACUCAAUGAGAGACUA
rnacentral:lncRNA from 1 species